AGUCAAAAGCGCACACACAUACACACACACAUUAAAAAAAUUACAAAACCAUCCACACCAAAUUACAGGUGUCUGAGGGAGUAAAUAAGGAGCAGAAAUUGUUGUUUGAUAUUUCACUGAAUUGAAAAAUUUUUUUAAUACUUUAAACAAAGAUACGGGAAGAAAAUUGUAAUCUCUGCUUAAUUUUUGUUAAAUAGUUGAAUGUUACAAACUGGAGAGUAUUCAAAAACAUUUACUUAAUUUUGAUAAGAACAGCAGGAGUCUAUGGAAUUUUGGCCAGAGGUAUUCCCAUCUCCUAUUCUGGCCUUAAAUUUCAUGACACAAAAUUUUACCCUAGAAGAGAUACAUAGGCCUUAAAGAUUGGUACCUCUGGUGGUGUGCCAGAAAAGAGCACAUUAUUUGGAGCAGAAUAUGAGAAAACACAGAGUGUUUUAGAGAUCUCAGGAGAAAACAAUUAGGGAAAGCUAACAAUCUGAGCUAUAUUACUCUGAAGAAGCAGGAAAAAAACCAUGGCAGACCAACCGAAAAUUAGCAGAGAUUCAUGGAAAAUGACAUCCAACUUGCUAGGAUGACUCUUACUCCUGGUAGUAAAUAUGACUGUAUAUUGGGACAGAUCAGAAUUUAUGUUUUGCAAAAUAUUAUGUUUAAAAAUCCAGUUUCAACAACUACAGUGAGGCAUGCAAAGCAAUAGAGAGGUGUGAACUGUACAUAGAAAUAAAUGCAGGCAAUGAACAAUGUCUUUGAGGUGGUCUAGAUGUUGCAACUAUCAGAUAACAACUUUAAAGCAUUUAUUAUAAGUGUGUUCAAAGAAUUGGAAAAUGUUUAAAAUUUGUAAAUAACUGUAUUUCAACCUCAAUUACAGACAAUCAAUAAAGAGAA
rnacentral:lncRNA from 1 species